rnacentral:rRNA from 1 species
UACGUAGGGUGCAAGCGUUAAUCGGAAUUACUGGGCGUAAAGCGUGCGCAGGCGGCUAUGCAAGACAGAUGUGAAAUCCCCGGGCUCAACCUGGGAACUGCAUUUGUGACUGCAUGGCUAGAGUACGGUAGAGGGGGAUGGAAUUCCGCGUGUAGCAGUGAAAUGCGUAGAUAUGCGGAGGAACACCGAUGGCGAAGGCAAUCCCCUGGACCUGCACUGACGCUCAUGCACGAAAGCGUGGGGAGCAAACAGG